rnacentral:rRNA from 1 species
GACAACGGAUAUCUCGGCUCUCGCAUCGAUGAAGAACGUAGUGAAAUGCGAUACUUGGUGUGAAUUGCAGAAUCCCGUGAACCAUCGAGUUUUUGAACGCAAGUUGUGCCCGAAGCCAUCCGGCCGAGGGCACGUCUGCCUGGGCGUC